rnacentral:lncRNA from 1 species
CGAUUCAAAACCUGCACACUGAGCUCAAAGGACACAGCCUCAAAGGACAAAGGCUCCUCUGGAAUCUUGAGUGUUGGGCCCACAGUGCCGUCAUGAAGGCAGACACUUAAGACGGCUGAGUUUCCAUCUGACUUAUGUCAAAUGGUUCAGAAAUAUUACAGGAGCACAGCCUUGAUGUUUUAAUAAAAUAAAAAUACCAUUUCUACAAAAAGUGUUUACACAGAGUCCUGGCUGGGGGCCCAUGGGACCCUGAAAGGAUGACAGAGAACUUGCUCCCCCAUUACGUUCCCAGGAGGAACCACCCUGCUGGCCAGGGGCACAAUAAGAACCACCUGGGGGCUGCUUUUCAGAAAUUACACGUUUAAAAAGCUACACUGUGAUAUUUCAAUGGCCUCCGGAUGCCACACACUGGUUCCCAGUGCCCGCAUGAGAAGUGGGUGUGUAGGGCGUGAGGAGGGCGCAUCGAACUGCUGUGCUGGGAACUCUGCUUCACAGGCAUGGACACCCCAGCUCCAAGAAACACAGGGAGGUGGAGUGCUCAGGUGCAGGGCAGGCACAACCUGUGGACAGCUAGACACAGCCACCAUGGCAGGUCCUCAUCGUACAAGGCCCUGGCUUCUGGAUCCAUCAUUCCUUACAACCACACCCAGACACCGACUUGGCUACAAUAAAUAAGAUUCCGUACAACAAAACACAUCCAGAAUGGCAUUGGGGAUAGGGCCUGCAAACACCACAUGUGCACCCACCAGAACCUCCCACCCAUACGUGUGCCACCACGCAGGUCCGAAUGGCACCUGGAGGCGCGCCCACAUCCCAAGGCGCUGCUUGACCAGGGAGGGCAGACUCCAGAGCAGAGGGGAUGACAAUACUGGCAAAGCCACGCAGGACGAGGAUACAGCUGAUGGGCCCAUAGUGCUGCUCACAGGAAGGACACUGAUAGCUCAGAGGCUGCUGGAGUGUGGGCAGGUGACUCAUAAAGAUCACUCCAAGGCUAAAACACUCCCUUCUCCAACGCCUGAAAACAAGCCCUUCAGAGCCCCAUGGCUUCUGACUGUGUCUCCAGGUGAGACUGUACAAUUGGAUUCCUAUUCUGUCAAGUUUCUUCUUUAAAGGCCAAGGAAAAAGCCAAGUAACUGAGAAACUGACAUCUCCGAGUGCUGCAACCCCCUCCCUGGCUAGCUUGGCUUCAUGGGUCCUAUGUCUGGAGCCCUCCAGAAUGACACUCUUGCUGGCAACACACAGCCUCAAAGGACAAGUGCAGCUGUUGGGGGAGCAGGAAGGUGGAGAGGCCACAGGACACCCAGCUCUGGCCUGCCCACAUGGAACUGUCCCCGACAGGGCCACCAAGUGUGAAGAGGCUGCUGGCCACCAGAGCCCUGGAGACACCACCCCGCCCCUAAGUACAUGGGGGGCACACUGCAAGCCCCUCAAGAUGCCACUGCUCACUCACAUGACCACCUUCAUAGGACUUGGUGGGGCCAUGUAAAGGCUGAAGGGCAGAGACCAUCUGGGUGCCCUGGCCCAGGAGGCCAGCUGUGGGCGAUGGCCCCUCCAGCCACGUCCUCCAGUGGGCAGGGUUUGUUCCACAAGGGAAGCCAUCAAGGGCCCCACAUGUGCUCCCAGAGAACCUGCUCCAGCCAGGCUGUGGUGAAGGCCUAACCCUUGGACCCCAACAGUGUGGCAAUCACCUAGCAAAUGAUUCCUUCUCAAGGGCUGCACUGGUGUGUCUCCCCGCAGUUCAUUCUGGAUGUUACUCCUGAGUCAGACUCUCAAGUGCAGAGAUCCUGUACUAGUCAGUUAAGGACGGGGAAGACCGAAGGUGAAUCAAGAGCGAGCUCAGGAAACACACCCCAGGAUCCACUCAAGACAUGGACACUACUGUCAGGAGAGGUGCUACUUCCAGAGGCCACUGAAGUCACAGACGCUUCUGUCGAGAAGAGUCACACAAAGAUGACUUUGAAAAUGCGGGAACAGACGAUCUAUUUACACAGAUUUUUAGGAAUCAAAGUUCACAGACCAGCUGAAAGAUCUUCAGAGCUGAGGAGGGCUGUGCUCGUGUCUGAUUCUUGCCCAGCACCUCUGAAAACAUGAGGUGCACCUGCCCAGUUCC